rnacentral:rRNA from 1 species
GAUGAACGCUGGCGGCGUGCCUAAUACAUGCAAGUCGAGCGAACGGACGAGAAGCUUGCUUCUCUGAUGUUAGCGGCGGACGGGUGAGUAACACGUGGAUAACCUACCUAUAAGACUGGGAUAACUUCGGGAAACCGUAGCUAAUACCGGAUAAUAUUUUGAGCCGCAUGGUUCAAAAGUGAAAGACGGUCUUGCUGUCACUUAUAGAUGGAUCCGCGCUGCAUUAGCUAGUUGGCAAGGUAACGGCUUACCAAGGCAACGAUGCAUAGCCGACCUGAGAGGGUGAUCGGCCACACUGGAACUGAGACACGGUCCAGACUCCUACGGGAGGCAGCAGUAGGGAAUCUUCCGCAAUGGGCGAAAGCCUGACGGAGCAACGCCGCGUGAGUGAUGAAGGUCUUCGGAUCGUAAAACUCUGUUAUUAGGGAAGAACAUAUGUGUAAGUAACUGUGCACAUCUUGACGGUACCUAAUCAGAAAGCCACGGCUAACUACGUG